UGUAAAGAUAAAAGAAUAAAUGUUAUUUCAGACUGAUAUAAAUUGGCAAAUUGGGUUAAGUGGAUAUUCAGGGGAACUUAGCUGUCAUCUUUUAAAAGAUAAAUUAUUACAAUUUUUAUAUAAUACCUCCAUCAUUAUACCAAAAAAUACUAGGCAGGAACCUAUUCCUGGAGCUUUAACUGUUUUUACUGAUGAAUCAUCAAAUGGGAAAGCUGCCUAUCAUACAAUAGAUUCAGACCGAGUCAUACUGACCAGUCAUACUUCUGUACAAAGAAUUGAACUAGAAGCUAUUAAGGCUGCAUUGCAGGAUUUCCAAGAACCUCU